rnacentral:rRNA from 1 species
AUACGGAGGGUGCAAGCGUUAAUCGGAAUUACUGGGCGUAAAGCGCGCGUAGGCGGAUAUUUAAGUCUCAUGUGAAAGCCCUGGGCUCAACCUGGGAACUGCAUGGGAUACUGGGUAUCUAGAAUACAGUAGAGGGUAGUGGAAUUUCAGGCGUAGCGGUGAAAUGCGUAGAGAUCUGAAGGAACAUCAGUGGCGAAGGCGACUACCUGGACUGAUAUUGACGCUGAGGUGCGAAAGCGUGGGGAGCAAACGGGAGUAGAUACCCUAGUAGUCC